CCUAAACCCUCUCUCUCUCUCUCUCUCUCUCUCUCUCUCAUGACAAGAGAGGAUAAUUCUUUGGUACCAUUCUGAGAAAUGCUAUCCAGACGCUCUCUUGUAAUGUUACCCUCACUCUCACUCACCACCAUCAGGCCCUCUCCUCUCUUCUUCUACUCCUUCACCAAAUUCCCAUCCACCAAUUCCCACACUCUCCGCCUCCCACUUCUCCACCCCACCACCACAACCACCCAAUUCACCAGACCCUCUCCUCUUUUCUUCUUUUCCUCUCUCUCCGCCACCUCACCAAUCCAUGACUCUUCCUCCUCCACAAGGCUCUCCAGAAAAGCCAGUAGAAAAGCCCGCCGAGAAUCCCCGGAGGGACUUCUCAAGCUCAAACUCGACAUGUGUUCCAAACACGGCGACGUAGUCGAGGCACUUCGCCUUUACGACGAGGCCCUUCGAGAUGGACUCAAUCUUGUAUUACUCCAUUACAAUGUGUUGCUCUAUCUCUGCUCUCUAGACAGAAACAGAGGAUCCCAUGUGUUGAACAGAGGUUUUGAGAUUUUUCAAGCCAUGGUUGUAAACAAGGUUGUGCCGAAUGAGGCCACGUUUACUAGCUUGGCGAGGAUAGCUGCGGCCAAGGAAGACCCGGAAAUGGCGUUUGAUUUGAUCAAGAAGAUGAAAGGGUUUGGAAUUGUGCCGAAGUUGAGGUCGUAUGGGCCGGCAUUGUUUGGGUUUUGCGAGAAAGGGAUGGCAGGUAAGGCUUAUGAAGUUGAUGCUGACAUGGUUGAGGCCGGUGUGGUGGCUGAGGAGGCUGAGCUUUCUGCGAUUUUGAAAGUUAGUGGUGUUUGUAACAAUGCACAUAAAGUGUAUGAAACAAUGCACAGGUUAAGAGCUGCGGUGAGACAAGUGUCGGAGACGACUGCUGGGGUUAUUGAGGAUUGGUUUAAAUGCGAAGAGGCAAAAAAAGUAGGAUUAGAGAAUUGGGAUGUGAGUAAAGUGAGUGAAGGGGUUGUGAGAGGUGGUGGAGGAUGGCAUGGUCAAGGGUGGUUGGGGAGUGGGGAGUGGAGAGUGGUGAGGACUCAAAUGGAUGGUACCGGGGUUUGUCAAUCGUGUGGCGAGAAGCUUGUUUGUAUUGAUAUUGAUCCGAAGGAGACGGAAAAUUUUGCUUCCUCAUUGACCAAUGUGGCUUGCCAAAGGGAGGUUAAAGCUGAUUUUGUUCGCUUCCAGGAAUGGCUCCAACGGCAUGGUCCAUUUGAUGCGGUUGUAGAUGGUGCCAAUGUGGGUCUUAUCAACCAGCACAGUUUCAAGUUUUCCCAGCUUAAUAUGGUUGUAAAACAACUACGUCAAAUGAGUCCUUCCAAGCGAUUGCCCCUGGUUAUUUUGCAUAAAAAUCGUGUGACUGGUGGUCCUGCUCAGCAUCCUAAUAACAAGAAGUUGUUAGAGCAUUGGAAAAACUCUGGUGCACUUUAUGCUACUCCUCCUGGUUCAAAUGAUGAUUGGUUAAAAGUUGAUAAGGGGAAAAGUGAGAUGGUGCCAACAGGUGAGAUGGAGAAUGUGAUUGAAUUUGCUAACCUUUUGUAUUUUAAGGUGGGUUGUUUGCCAAUGACUUACCUUGGUAUGCUGUUGGGGGCUUCCUUCAAAUCAGGGCAAUUUGGAACCCUAUUUUGGAGAAAUUCAAAUGUCGAUUGGCUGGUUGGAAGAGGCUGUACCUGUCAAAAUGGGGGAGGUUGAUGCUUUUGAAGGGUACUGGUUAUAUGCUGCUGUUAGUUGUAAGUGUUUACUGGUGACAAAUGAUGAGAUGAGGGAUCACCUGUUCCAACUGCUAGGGACAAGCUUUUUUCCAAGAUGGAAGGAAAAGCAUCAGAUUCGACUGUCAUUUGCACAACGUGAGCCUACUCUCCACAUGCCUCCACCUUAUUCAAUUGUUAUUCAGGAGUCAGAAAAGGGUAGUUGGCAUGUUCCUACGAUCACAGGUGACGAUCUUGAGACCCCAAGGCAAUGGUUGUGUGCCACUAGACCCAGGGAUACUUCAUUGUAACAUCUCUAGAGACAUUUAUCUCGGAUGUAUGCACAUGCAUGAGAGAUAGAGAUUUUGUAAUCUUAUUCAGUUGUGUAUGUGUUUUUUAUUUCAUUACUGUAAUUUAAAAUUUUCAAUUAGACAUGAUUAUUA